CCUACGGGUGGCUGCAGUGGGGAAUAUUGGACAAUGGGCGCAAGCCUGAUCCAGCAAUGCCGCGUGUGUGAAGAAGGCCUGCGGGUUGUAAAGCACUUUAAGCAGGAAAGAAGGGCGGAGCGAUAAUACCGUUUCGCAUUGACGUUACCUGCAGAAUAAGCACCGGCUAACUCCGUGCCAGCAGCCGCGGUAAUACGGAGGGUGCGGCCGUUAGUCGGAUUUACUGGGCCGUCGUCGCGCGUCUGCGGUUAACCUGGGAACUGCGGUGGAUACUGUCGGGCUAGAGUGUGGUAGAGGGGAGUGGAAUUUCCGGUGUAGCAGUGAAAUGCGUAGAGAUCGGAAGGAACACCAGUGGCGAAGGCGGCUCCCUGGACCAACACUGACGCUGAGGUGCGAAAGCGUGGGGAGCAAACAGGAUUAGAUACCCCAGUAGUC
rnacentral:rRNA from 1 species